UGCAAGUGGAUAUAACUCAGUCGGUAGAGCAUGAGAUUCUUAAUCUCAGGGUUGUGAGUUUGAGCCCUACAUUGGGCAA